CGAGUUUGAUCCUGGCUCAGGACGAACGCUGGCGGCGUGCUUAAUGCAUGCAAGUCUUACGAGAAAGCGUCCUUCGGGAUGUGAGUACAGUGGCGGACUGGUGAGUAACACGUAGGCAACCUACCCAAGAGCGGGGGAUAACCCUGCCAACGCGGGGGCUAAUACCGCAUACUGCAAUUGAUUCGCAUGGAUCGAUUGCCAAAGCGGGGGAUCCUUCGGGACCUCGUGCUUUUGGAUGGGCCUGCGCUCCAUUAGCUUGUUGGUGAGAUAACGGCUCACCAAGGCAACGAUGGAUAGCCGACCUGAGAGGGUGAUCGGCCACACUGGGACUGAGAUACUGCCCAGACUCCUACGGGAGGCAGCAGUAGGGAAUAUUGCGCAAUGGUCUGACGACUGACGCAGCAACGCCGCGUGGGUGAUGAAGCUCUACGGAGUGUAAAACCCUGUUAGAGGUGAAGAAUAGGCAGGCUUCGAAUAGUAGUCUGUUUUGACGGUAGCCCCAGAGAAAGCACCGGCUAACUCCGUGCCAGCAGCCGCGGUAAUACGGGGGGUGCAAGCGUUGUCCGGAAUAACUGGGCGUAAAGGGUGUGUAGGUGGGAUGGUAAGUUAGACGUGAAAUCCUGCGGCUUAACCGCAGGCUUGCGUCUGAAACUGCCGUUCUUGAGUCACGCAGAGGUAAGUGGAAUUCCUGGUGUAGCGGUGAAAUGCUAAGAUAUCAGGAAGAACACCGGUGGCGUAGGCGGCUUACUGGGCGUUGACUGACACUGAGGCACGAAAGCGUGGGUAGCAAACAGGAUUAGAUACCCUGGUAGUCCACGCUGUAAACUAUGAGCACUAGGUGUUGGAGGCUUGUCCCCUUCAGUGCCGCAGCUAACGCAAUAAGUGCUCCGCCUGGGGAGUACGAUCGCAAGGUUGAAACUCAAAGGAAUUGACGGGGGCCCGCACAAGCGGUGGAGCAUGUGGUUUAAUUCGAUUCAACGCGAAGAACCUUACCGGGGUUUGAAAAGCAAAGGCUAACCUGUGAAAGCAGGCUUCCCUUUUGGGACCUUUGUACAGGUGCUGCAUGGCUGUCGUCAGCUCGUGUCGUGAGAUGUUGGGUUAAGUCCCGCAACGAGCGCAACCCCUGUCCGUAGUUACCAGCGGAUAAUGCCGGGGACUCUACGGAGACUGCCGACCUUAAAGUCGGAGGAAGGUGGGGAUGACGUCAAGUCCUCAUGGCCCUUACAUCCCGGGCUACACACGUGCUACAAUGGUCGGAUCAAUGGGACGCAAGACCGCGAGGUGGAGCCAAUCCCUAAAAACCGAUCUCAGUUCGGAUUGGAGUCUGCAACUCGACUCCAUGAAGUCGGAAUCGCUAGUAAUCGCGUAACAGUAUGACGCGGUGAAUACGUUCCCGGGCCUUGUACACACCGCCCGUCACGCCAUGGAAGUCGGUGGGACCCGAAGUCGUUGCCUUAACCGCAAGGAGGGGCGCGCCGAAGGUAAAACUGAUGACUGGGGCGAAGUCGUAACAAGGUA
rnacentral:rRNA from 1 species